UAAUUGCAUAUGGCUUUCUAUAAAAAUAUUAAAUAGCAAAUAUAUUCCUACAAAAAACUUAAAGUUAUCAAAAAUUUUUUCCCUCCAAAAGUCCUCCCGUCUACAAAUAUAUUAUUCUGUUAUCAAAAUUUAGGUAAUUGUGAGUUAAAACAGCGGACUAUCUGUUACCAAAAUUUAGAUAACCGUGAGUUAACAAUGCUGACCAUAGUUAAGAGAUAAAAUAAUAUUUUCACCUUAUGUGUAUAUAAUUUAUAUUCUAAUAUUGAGUCUCAUCAUCUUUCUCCCUCUCUCCACUUUAUCCAAAACGAUAACAAGACCUAUGGCGGCAGCGAUGUUGAAGGCGAGACCCUCAACCACGAUAAAAAUGAGGUACGCUGCAUGUGCCCUGGCGAAAGUGAGGAAAGAGAAAGAAGGAUAACUUUUUGCAUGCGUAAAUUUAUAAGGACAAAAUAGUUAUUUUACGCAUCGACUUUUAAAAAGCUCAAACUGUAAGUACACAUGUAUGAAGGAAUCAAAACUUUUAGAGGGAUCGAUAUAUAAUCUGAUCAUUUAAGUUUUGUAGAAAUUUACCUAUUAUUUAAUACUUUACGGAAACAUGUAU
rnacentral:lncRNA from 1 species